AUCAAACCGGAGACCCUUUAGUUCGCAGGCCAGCACUUAACCCAGUGAGCCACACCAGCCAGGGCUAUAGCCCCUUAUUUUUAAAUUAUAGAAACAGGGUCUGCUUGUGGAGAGAAAACCAAAUACUGUUAGCUUGUAAUCCAGGCCAUAAGUGAUGGCAAAUUAAGUUAGUGCCAAUGGGACAAAGUUGAGAGGUGUUUAGAAUUUAGAAACAACAGACAAAAAGGUAGUGAUUGAUCAGAUGUGAAGUAAGAGGGGAGGCAGAUCACCAGAUCACAAUUACUCCCAGGUGCCUGAGGAGUUGUUUUAGACAUGUUGAAUUAUAAGGAGUCUUAACAUUUUCUUAUGAUCAGGGAAUGUCUUAAUAGAUCAAUAGACAGUAUACAAGCUAUUCACAUUUUCCAAAGAUUUUGGAUGGAAGACCAAAAAGGAAUGAGAAAGAAAAUUUCAGCUAGAUUCCAGUUGUUAAUGAGUCUCUGGCAAGUCAGUUAAGAGUGAGCUGAGAGCAAGGUCAAGUUAAACCCACUGUGAGUUGUAUCCUUGGUCACUGACUGGUUUCCCAAUGUAGUCACUUCCUUGUUGUUCAUUAAUGAGAUGUAACAUAGAUAUCAGUGUUGUUAAGGAUGAAGUGACAUAUAUAAGGGCUCUGAACAUAUAGAAUAUUCUACAAAUGUAAAGUAAAGCAGGUAUCUUCAUCAAGACACAUUUAUUGACCCAGUUUCUGGCCAGAUAAGUUGGAGUAGUAUUUCACACUAUCCAGUCUGUAGGGGGCACCUGGAAAUCUUGUUAAAGUGCAGAUUUCAGUGGAGCUGAGAUUCUGUAUUUCUAACAAGCUCCCAGGUGAUGUCUGCAUCCUUGGGCCACACUCUUACUAGCAAUGGGUGAGAAAGUUGGCAUUGUAAGUAGGGAAGAUACAUAUGUUCCUUUCCUUUGUUGAAGUCUAUCAUAUAUGUGAAUGAGUGUUGCUGAAUGCACAAUUUGAUGGGCGACAAAGUGUCAUCCAAAUAUAAAGAGAAUUCAAUUUACAUUUUAGAAUAAUAGGCCUUUCAGAGUUCUCCAGACAGAUUUCCCUGUGAAGAACAAACAGCAGAUAGG